CAGCAUGUGUGGAGAGAAAGCAGAGCUAACUUUUCGAGUGCAGUGAACCUUCUUCAGGACUGGAAUGGGCCCAAUCUUAUUAUUCUUUGACAAAUGUUUCUUUGCAUUGGGUUUGUCGGAGGGUUUCCCACCUUGAGGCCCAGUGAGAUCACUUGCUGCAUCUUACCAAGCUCACCUCAUUAAUAACCUCUCAGAUGGAAAAUACUGCACUCUCUCCUCAUCUGGUACUUUUCUUUUCCAAAGCGAGAGGCUAGACAAUGCAACAGACAGCAUCCAAGAGAUAAAAGGAAAUCCAGCCCUUGGUCCAGAGCCCUCUAGACACCUCAAGUACAAAUUAAAAGAAAAAAGACAACCCAGGGAGAUCUUUAGCUGGAAGAAGGAAGACACCAAAGACGGCAACCACUGUAUGGUUUUGAAAUUAAAUUGAUGUAAUUUUAGUAAGUGUUUUGUGGAACAGUAUAUUGUUAUAAAGUUGGA